rnacentral:tRNA from 1 species
CGACACCAGCAGGAUUUGAACCAGCGCGGGCAGAGCCAACCAGAUUUCAAGUCUGUCGCCUUAACCACUCGGCCAUAGUGCC